rnacentral:rRNA from 1 species
CAGCCGUAAACUAUGCUCGCUAGGUGUCAGGCAUGGCGCGACCGUGUCUGGUGCCGCAGGGAAGCCGUGAAGCGAGCCACCUGGGAAGUACGGCCGCAAGGCUGAAACUUAAAGGAAUUGGUGGGGGAGCACAACAACGGGUGGAGCCUGCGGUUUAAUGGACUCAACGCCGGACAACUCACCGGGGACGACAGCAAUAUGUAGGCCAGGCUGAAGACCUUGCCUGAAUCGCUGAGAGGAGGUGCAUGGCGUAGACGUCU